CACCGGAGCUUGCUCCACCGGAAAAAGAGGAGUGGCGAACGGGUGAGUAACACGUGGGUAACCUGCCCAUCAGAAGGGGAUAACACUUGGAAACAGGUGCUAAUACCGUAUAACAAUCGAAACCGCAUGGUUUUGAUUUGAAAGGCGCUUUCGGGUGUCGCUGAUGGAUGGACCCGCGGUGCAUUAGCUAGUUGGUGAGGUAACGGCUCACCAAGGCCACGAUGCAUAGCCGACCUGAGAGGGUGAUCGGCCACAUUGGGACUGAGACACGGCCCAAACUCCUACGGGAGGCAGCAGUAGGGAAUCUUCGGCAAUGGACGAAAGUCUGACCGAGCAACGCCGCGUGAGUGAAGAAGGUUUUCGGAUCGUAAAACUCUGUUGUUAGAGAAGAACAAGGAUGAGAGUAACUGUUCAUCCCUUGACGGUAUCUAACCAGAAAGCCACGGCUAACUACGUGCCAGCAGCCGCGGUAAUACGUAGGUGGCAAGCGUUGUCCGGAUUUAUUGGGCGUAAAGCGAGCGCAGGCGGUUUCUUAAGUCUGAUGUGAAAGCCCCCGGCUCAACCGGGGAGGGUCAUUGGAAACUGGGAGACUUGAGUGCAGAAGAGGAGAGUGGAAUUCCAUGUGUAGCGGUGAAAUGCGUAGAUAUAUGGAGGAACACCAGUGGCGAAGGCGGCUCUCUGGUCUGUAACUGACGCUGAGGCUCGAAAGCGUGGGGAGCAAACAGGAUUAGAUACCCUGGUAGUCCACGCCGUAAACGAUGAGUGCUAAGUGUUGGAGGGUUUCCGCCCUUCAGUGCUGCAGCUAACGCAUUAAGCACUCCGCCUGGGGAGUACGACCGCAAGGUUGAAACUCAAAGGAAUUGACGGGGGCCCGCACAAGCGGUGGAGCAUGUGGUUUAAUUCGAAGCAACGCGAAGAACCUUACCAGGUCUUGACAUCCUUUGACCACUCUAGAGAUAGAGCUUCCCCUUCGGGGGCAAAGUGACAGGUGGUGCAUGGUUGUCCUCAGCUCCGGUCCGGAGAAUGUUGGGUUAAGUCCCGCACCAAGCCCACCCUUAUUGUAAUUGCCCUCUUUCAGUGGGACCCUAC
rnacentral:rRNA from 1 species